rnacentral:tRNA from 1 species
GCCUGGCUGGCUCAGUCAGUAGAGCAUGUGAUUCUUGAUCUCAGGUUGUGAGUUCAACCCCUAUGUUGGGUA